rnacentral:tRNA from 1 species
ACUUGAGUAGUUUAGUUAAAAUAUAGAUUUGUGGAUUCUAAGAAAAUUUUGUGCAUUCUCAAGUU